rnacentral:rRNA from 1 species
GGAAUAUUGCACAAUGGGGGAAACCCUGAUGCAGCGACGCCGCGUGAGCGAUGAAGUAUUUCGGUAUGUAAAGCUCUAUCAGCAGGGAAGAAAAUGACGGUACCUGACUAAGAAGCCCCGGCUAACUACGUGCCAGCAGCCGCGGUAAUACGUAGGGGGCAAGCGUUAUCCGGAUUUACUGGGUGUAAAGGGAGCGUAGACGGCGUGCCAAGUCUGGUGUGAAAGGCCGGGGCUCAACCCCGGGACUGCAUUGGAAACUGGCAUGCUGGAGUGCCGGGGGGGCAAGCGGAAUUCCUAGUGUAGCGGUGAAAUGCGUAGAUAUUAGGAGGAACACCGGUGGCGAAGGCGGCUUGCUGGACGGUAACUGACGCUGAGGCGCGAAAGCGUGGGGAGCAAACA